rnacentral:rRNA from 1 species
GAUGAACGCUAGCGGCAGGCCUAAUACAUGCAAGUCGGACGGGAUUCAGGAGCUUGCUUCUGAUGAGAGUGGCGCACGGGUGCGUAACACGUAUGUAACCUACCUUUAUCAGGGGGAUAGCCUCUCGAAAGAGAGAUUAAGCCCGCAUAAGAUCACAGCACAGCAUUGUGUAAUGAUCAAAUAUUUAUAGGAUAAAGAUGGGCAUGCGGAACAUUAGCUAGAUGGCGGGGUAACGGCCCACCAUGGCGACGAUGUUUAGGGGAUCUGAGAGGAUGGCCCCCCACACUGGUACUGAGACACGGACCAGACUCCUACGGGAGGCAGCAGUAAGGAAUAUUGGUCAAUGGGCGGAAGCCCGAACCAGCCAUGCCGCGUGCAGGAAGACGGCCCUACGGGUUGUAAACUGCUUUUAUACGGGAAUAAACCCAGAUACGUGUAUCUGGCUGAAUGUACUGUAAGAAUAAGGAUCGGCUAACUCCGUG